AAUGAUUUAUAGAGGUUCAGCUAUCCAAGCCUACGUCCUCUCCUCAAGUCCACCUUGAGAGUUCAACUCCACUAUCAAAUCUUCUUUGGGUGAAGAUCAAAACCCUUACAAUCUUAGAGCAAGCCUUUGCUCUUUACAAAUCUCCUUUUUCACUCAAGAGCAAUACUUUGCUCAAUGCCACACUCACAACAAUAGAAUCUCUCAACAACCUUUACUUACUCAGAAAAGCCAACCAAUUACAACUCAAAACAAGCUUUCAAGAAAUUAAUGCUUUGGCUCAAGGUUUUGAGAGAGAGAGAAUGAAAAAUGCUGUAAUCUCAAUAAAUAUUUGCUUAGAUGGUUGUUGUAACCUCACAACAACAAAAACAAGUUGUAUUUAUAGUUCUAUCAUAAAUAUGACCGUUGGGGUGCAUUAAAUGCAAAUAAAGCCGUUUAUGUUCAGAAAUAACCGUUAUACCGUGCCCAGAAAAAAUUCAGGUUCGGCGGCCUAAGCUUAUGGCGGCCGAACCAUUUGAGGUGAAGAAACUAUUCCUUUGAAAAAGAACUUUCGGCGGCCUAAAGUCAGAGUUCGGCGGCCGAACUUGGGUGACUUUCGUCUCUGUUCCUCUCUUUCGGAAGCCGAACUUUUGGCUUCGGAGGCAGACUUAGAACAUACUUUCGGCGGCCGAAGGUUAAAAGUUCGGCGGCCGAAAGUGCGGGACUUUCGUCUCUGUCCCUCACUUUCGGAAGCCGAAGGUUGCACUUCAGGGGGCUGGUUGAAAAUCCACUUUCGGCGGCCGAAAGUCAAUGUUCGGCGGCCGAACCUAUGGGACUUUCGUUUCUGUCCCUCACUUUCGGAAGCCGAAGGUUGUGUUUAGGGGGCACAAAAAUUCUUCUUUAAAUCUUUGAAAAAUCAUAACUUAGGCUAUAAAAUUCCAUUUUUCAAUCCGU
rnacentral:lncRNA from 1 species